AAACAUGGCCUAUUGAUUAUAAUUUUAGGUCGAUCUGCUCCAUGAAGUAAAAUUUAAAUAGCUGCAGUAUAUUGACUGUACAAAGGUAGCAUAAUAAAUUGUCUUUUAAUUGAAGAAUUGAAUGAACGAAUUGAUGAAAUAACAACUGUCUCUAUUUUAUUGAAUGAAUUUAAAUUUUUAGUUAAAAUGCUAAAAUUUAAUUAUGGGACGAUAAGACCCUAUAGAAUUUUAUUUAAAUAAUUAUUUAUUUAAAUUAUUUGUAAAUAAAUAAUUAAUUUAAAUUUGAUUGGGAGGAUUGGUAAAUAUAAAUAACUUUAUCUUAUAAAUAAUUUUAAUUAGAAAAUAUUUUUUGAUCUAUAAAUUAUAAUUAAAAGAAUAAAUUACCUUAGGGAUAACAGCGUAAUAUCUUUUGAUAGACCAUAUUGAUAAAGAUGAUUGCGACCUCGAUGUUGAAUUAAGAUAAAAAUUAGACGCAGAAGUUUAAAAAUUUAAGUCUGUUCGACUUUUAAAAUCUUACAUGAUUUGAGUUCAAAUCGACGUAAGU
rnacentral:rRNA from 1 species